UACAAGUUUUUGCCACUGUCAAGGCAGCCCUACCAACCUCAAUCUCAUGAUGGAAGGUACAGGGAAAUGCUGAAAUUAGUGAUAUCCUUGAUUAGACAAAUGAUCAAACGGUUGUUCUAAUUAGAUAAAGCCUGAAAGGAUCUCAAUUUACCAUGCAGAAUUCCAAAUAGACCAUUUUUCACAUGACUUCCACAGGUAGAAUGCAAGGCAGAACUUAAUUUUUAAUGCAUAAGUCACACUUCUCUGUCCCUUUCUGUUCUUCCCCCUCAUCUGCAGGGUUUUCGUCAUUGCAGAACUCAGUAACAAGACUAGGUAACUCUAAACAAGGGCAAUGAGCAGUUUUUCCCCUCGCCACACACCCAUGCACGUGAUACUCUGCUCAAACCCUGUAUUAACCAGCUGCAUUAUGCCAUUUGACCAUACAGCUCCUAAUAAACUUUGGCAGAACCCGUUAAUACCAAAAGAACCAAAGCUCACAUCCAAGAACUUACUACACCAAAUUGCCACUAAACUAAACUCGCGCUAUCGAAAUUACGGCAUGGAACUGCAUAUGCUCAACCAGCCAAUCGAGUCACGGCUCCUGGGUAAAAGACACUGCUUCAUUUGGACCAGGAACAUUACAAAUUUUUUCUUUUAAAUCAAUCACGAAGCGAAAAAUUACGUCAUCUGUGCUUAUAACCAAGAUCAAUAUGAACCCACAGAAGCAAAAAUUGAAAUUCUCAACCAUUUUAAGUCAAAGAUGGGUUGGUAUGGAGAUGAAGAAUUACGUUCCUGACAAAAAAUAAACGCAUGGACCUGAAUUUCGCUGAAAAUUAAAGAGGUGAAGGAGAAUUGUUUGUUUAUAUAGGAUGGGAUGUUUGUGGCAGGUGGGAAAAUUCUGUAAAAAGAUAUUUGCUACCUACUCUAGACAGGGAUCACUCUUGCUGAAGUGCACGCUCAUAGAUGAGUCCUUAUCGCCUUCGUGGGCUCUCACCGCCUAAAGCAUCGACAGCUCGCUGCCACUCCGGUACAUCCUCUGGAGAAACUAGAAGGAGCCGAAGGUGAUGGUGACGACUCAUUGGGGAUUCGCCAGCAAAUUGGGGAUUUCGGUUCCCCCGGAGGAGGAGGACGGACUGGGCCCAGGAGGGUUUCUCCUGUUGACUUGACAGAUUGGUGGAGGUUUUGUACCUGAUUGCAUUAUCUUGCAAAUAUAAUUAGCGUGAUUUCUCAUUUUUCUUUCUUUUUAGGAAAAAAGUUAAAAGUAUCAGGUGAAAGGACGAGGAGAUUGACAGCUUUUGCCACUGUUUCCCUUCUUCGACAGGUGAUUCUGUCAUUUUUAUCUAUAUAUGAUCCUAGUGAUGAUGGCUUUUGUUUUUUUGGUUGAUCUCUGAUGUCUGUAUUGCAGGAUGUGGAAGCUUGGGAUGACCAGCACCUGAACAGCUUUUUCAUAGGCAUUAGACAUGCCCAAUGGAUAUGUUUAAUUUAGGUUUGGUCUUGUUCUUUUGCAUUACUCAUGAAAGACAUCCAUCUGCUAAAUGUCGAGAACGCGACAUCAAUAUCGAGAACAACAAAAAGGACUUGUCCUUGGUGGGGUCAUACCAGAAGCUCAUGAUCUGAUUUCACACUUACUUAAGUGGAAUUAUAAAUUGAGAUGAGUACCAUCAUUUUUUAAUUUGCAUCACUGCUAUUUUCAUUAUGUUGUUUGAUAGAUUUUGUAACCAUUGUUAAUUUUUAUUUCCCUGUAUCACUCAAAUUUAAUGAUCACUGCUAUUUUCAUUAUGUUGUUUGAUAGAUUUUGUAACCAUUGUUAAUUUUUAUUUCCCUGUAUCACUCAAAUUUAAUGAGUAUUAAAGGUGACCUGAAAUUGUUGAACUUGGCUUAAUCUCUUCCUCCUAGUGAGGCUCUACUUAAUCAUCAAAAAAUGCGUUGAUCCCAUUCAUUUCUUUUGGUAAUUGAGAUUAGAAGCAGGAGAAAAGGUUGACCAUGUGAUUGUCUAAAUGCAUUUGACAAUUGUAAUAUGCAAAUGUAAGAUUAUCAUUGUCGGAAGCUUGUUUAUUAGGGCUUUAAGUGGGUUACCCUCCUAUGAAUAUAUAAAUUCCCAUUAUUCUUGGCACGCUAUUUAGAGGAUUCUUGCUAUACAUACACUAAGAAGAUUUCGUGUGAAGAUUUACGAGGUUUAGCAUAUAGUGCUAACUACAAAAUUAGAUAAUCACUACCUAAUUUUGUCUUGAAAAUUUCUAGGGACCGAAUGAUUAUGUUACUAAUUCAACGUGCUCCGAGUAAACCAUUCUUGACUUCUUGUUAUAACCAAACUAUUACCUUUAACUGGGAGUCAUUUCUCGUAAAGUGCAUUGAAGUUUUUUGUCUCACUCUCAUUUCACCUAAUGUAAUUUUAAUUGCUUUAGACAUUGCACCGAUAUUGUAUUUGUGAUGCGUAUGAAGUUAGCAAGUGGGCCAUGUCAGUGUUGGUAUUCAUAUAAUUGAUUUUUUUGAGUAUUUUGGCUUAUAGUUCAUCUUUUGUAAUAAUUUUCCAAUAGUCAAUAGUUAAUUUCUUUUUACUAGCAGGCCAAAGGUGUCGGAGGUGCUUUGCCAUCCAUUUUUUUGGAGUUCAAAGAUGAGAUUGUCCAUUUUUCGUGACACUAGCAAUAUAAUACAACUUGAGGCUGAAAAGGCGCCCAAUUCAGAUCUUCUAAACAAUUGGAGAGCAAGGCGCCACUGGUUUUUGGUAAGAACUGGGAUGAUAAAAUAGAACCUAUAUUUUUUGCUAACAUUCUCAAAAACAAUAGGCGCUGCAACUAUAGCCGUCUCCGAGACUUACUGCGAGCCAUGCAAAAUAAGUAGAACCACUACAUAGAGCUUCUAGGAAAAGUUCAAAUACUCUCACUAUGUGUCGAAUUGUUGAUCAUUUUUAUAGCUGCACAUGCAUGUAAAACUUCUUUAGUAACUUAACAUAUCUUGAAUCGUAUGAACUCAUUACCUCUGAUGGUUUUGGUAGAAGCUCCUCGAACCAGUUCCUGAGAGUUAUUGCAAUUACUUCACUAAACCAUUCCGGAGACUCUUGAUGGAGUCAUUCAGAGUGGUAUCCCAAUUCUGCAAAAAAGAAAAAGGCUUUCGAAAGUACUUUGAAGUUGAUGCGCUUUUGACCCUGGCUAACUUCCCACGAGAUUCUUUUGUUCGAAAGAAGAAGGCUUUCGAAAUUACUUAUUAAAUAUUCCACACAUCAGGGUCAAAGCGCAUCAACUUCAAAGUAUUUUUCGUAAGCCUUCUUCUUCUUUGCAAAAUUGGAAUACCACUCCGUAUGACUUCAUCAAGAGUCUCCCAAACCGUUUAGUAGAGUAAUUGCAAUAACCUCGGGAACUGGUCCAAGGAGCUUCUGCCAAAACCAUCAGAGGUAAUGAGUUCGCAUGAUCCAAGAUAUGAGAAGUUACUAAAGAAGCCUUACAUGCAUGUGCAGCUAUAGACAUCAACAAUUCGACACACAAUGCGAAUACCUAAACUUCUUCUAGAAUCUCUAUGUAGUGGUUCUAUUUAUUUUGCAUAACUCGUAGUAAGUUUCGGAGACGGCUAUAAUUAUAGUGCCUAUUGCUUUUACGAAUAUCAGCAAAAAAUAUAAGUUCCAUUUUAUCAUCCCAAUUCCCAUUAAAAAUCAAUGGUGCCUUGCUCCCUAAUUUGUUCAAAAGAUCUGAAUUGGACGCAAUUUUAGCCUCCAGUUGUAAUCUAUCGCUAGUUUCACAAAAAAAGGUCAAUCUCAUCUCUAAAUUCCAAAAAAAAUGGAUGGCAAAGCACCUCUGACGCAUUUGGCCUGCCGGUAAAAAAUAAUUAAAUAUUGACUAUUGAAAAAUUAUUACAAAAGAUGAACUGUAAGCCAAAAUGCUCAAAGAAAUCAAUUAUAUGAAUACCAACACUAAGAUGGCCCACUUGCUAAAUUCAUACGCAUCACAAAUACAGUAUCAGUGCAAUGUCUAAAGCAAUUAAAAUUGCAUUAGCUAAAAUGAGAGCGUGACCAAAAUGACCAAAAACUUCCAUGCACUUUACGAUAAAUGACUCCAGGUUAAAGGCGGUAGUUUGACUAUAACAAGAAGCCAAGAAUGGUUUAUUCAGAGCACUUUGAAUUAGUAACAUAAUCAUCCAGUCCCUAAAAAUUUUUAAGACAAAAUUAGGUAGUGAUUCUCCAUUUUUUGUAGUUAGCACCUGUCGCGACCUCUUUUCUUCCAUCCGGGGAAAGAAAAAGAAAAUUUAGGGGUAUUUGGCUAAAGAGGCAAACCAACGGCCAUAAAUUAGGCGCAUGCUCUCUCAAGUCCAUAUCUCGCGCGGCAUUGGAUUUUGAAUUUUAAUUCUUAACAACCUAUGUAUUCUAGGAAUCGCCACUAGCCUAUUGGGGUUGGCUAGAAACCAAUCAAGACGAGAGAAUGUUGUCUCGAUUGCUAUGCAAGAGAUUUCUAGAACUGGAGACGUGUUUACGCCAAUGUUUCUAUUAGCGCCAUUGCGGUACCAUUAACUUAGAAUGUUGUUUAUCUAAAUAAUCACACAAUAUUAAUUAUCAAUUAUAUAAUCCUUAUAAAACCGCUAAGCGUCCAUGCAAAUGUUUUUUUGUAAGUUUGUUUUCCUUAAUAUCUAGACUAAUCCUAACAUAAUUUAGAAAAUAAAUUUACAUUCAAAUUAAUGAAAAACGGUGCAUAAAUAAACAUCUAAGAAAUUGAAAUGGCUUAAAAAUAAAUGCGGAAAAGGAAGAACUAAUACAAGUCAGGCAAAUAAUAUUACAUGGCCUUGUUAUCACGCCCCAAGGCAGGACCCCAUGAGCGAACUGAGAAUUCAAAUAUGCAUGAAUUUACUCUAUAUGCAUGAAAUUACUCUAAAUAAUUUUAAUAUAUGCAAAAUGAAUUAUUUACAAAAAUGGCUAUAAAGUACCUAAAUAGCAUUAAAUUAGGAAAAUGACCCUUUCAAAUUAUGAAAAUUUCAUAAAUGUCAUUUUUAUCAUAAUUCGGUACCAUACAUCAUUUUUAUAAUUUUUUUUUUUGAAAUUUUUUUUUAUUUUUUAUAUAUUUAAUAUUUAAUAUUAUAUUCGGGAAAAGGGGUCCCGAUCGGGUAAACCCAAUCCGGCCCGUUGACCUGACGACGACCUAGACUCGACCCAAUUCGAUUAAGAAAAAGGAAAACCUUUUUUAAAAAAUUAAUUUUUUUUAUGAUUUUCGUAAUUUCUUUUAUUCUCCACCAUUUUGUCUUUUCCACUGCACCUUUUCUCUACACUCCCCCUUCCCGAAGCAAACUUUGCUUUCUUUUUCCAUAUUUUGUUUUCCUUUUUACUUUUUCUGUACUUUUCUUUUUCUUUUUGCUUUUUCAUUUUAUUUCUUAUUUGUCUUUUUCCUUAUGGUCUUCUUCCCCACGUAUUUUUCUUCUCCGUGCGUCUUCUUCUCCCCGACAUCUCUUUGCACGUCCUCCCCCAAAACUUCACCCAGACAGCAACAUCGGCAUAGCAACCAGCGACCCUUCCACCGCCGAACCACCACUGUCUACCGGUUGUCUACUCCAAACGGCGACGACCACCGUCGGCCACGAACACCGGCAGCCAAACCAUUUCCAGACACAAAAAUCCCCCUUGGCUCAAGGAUACACGAUUGCUCCACGAAAAUCGCAUAAAAUCACAAUGGAAACAUAAAAAGACAGGCACGGUCCGACGUAUAUAAGAGCAAGCACGAACCAAACCGAGUUUCAACUCGAGUUGCUUCUCGGUUCUCUCUAGGACAUUUUGUCAAACACAUGAGGUGCGCUACUAUAACAAGGUGUUUUUGGCUCAACCGAAGCUCAAACCAUAACGGGAUCUUCGGCACACGAUGAACAAGACAUCGGAAACAAAAGGUAAGGCGAUGCAGACCGGAGCUCGCGCGAACCGAACGGCCACGAGCUCCGGCCUGGUAUACCCGAUAGAGCACAGACAAAGGCCCAGGGGACUUACCUAGUUCGGUGGGGUCUGUGGCGAACGGCGGCUCUCGGGCGGACGACUGACGAUGGCGGAGCUUUCCUUCGAGCGCUCUCUCUCCCUUCGUCUCGUCCUCUACUCUCUCAAGCUCUCUCCAACUUCUGCUAGCUCUCCAUCCUCGGUCUCUCUCUGGAUUAUCUCUCGACCAAGGCAAAAACCGAGCCUCCCUCACUCCGUCGAGCUCACACUCUCUCGAGCUCGCUUUCCUCUUAGGCCCGCUCCUUCUCUCUUGGCUCUGCUGGCUUUCUUUCUGUUCCCCCCAGUCCCUCGGUCUCUCCUAAGCUCUCCCCUUUUUUCACUCAUCUUCUCCCUCUUUUGAGGGCCACCGGCCAGCGCGCAUGGCUUCUGCCAUCGCCAGCUUGCUGGCUGGCCUAGCCCCGACCCGCAGAUCAUGCUGCCAUCCUGCUCACGAUCCUCUGCCCCUCUGGUUUGUAUGUUUCUUUUCUGUCGAAGCCAGACCAGCAUGAGGGCGUGAGGAAGAGAGGAAAGAGAGAGAGGCUGGGCUUGGGGAGAAACUGAGGUUGGACUUGGCCCAGGUGAAAAAAUGAUCCAGAGGAGAAUAGAACAGAAAAGGACCAGGCCUAGCCCGGUUCGCUCUCUCUCUCUCUCUCUCUCUUUUCGAAUUUUUUUUUGUAAAUUUUUUUUUUGAUGAAUUUUAAAACUAGUGACGCAAAUGCUCCUAAUGUCAUGAAAUUUUUUUGUUAAUGAGUUAGAAAUUAAUCCAUAAUUUUCCAAUGCAAUUAAUAAACACUUAAACAAAUCGUCAAAAUUUAGGUGUCAACGGCACCAUAUGCUAAAUCCUGUAAACAUGAAAUCUUCUUAAUGUAUGUAUGGCAAGAAUCCUCUAAAUAGUGUGCCAGGAAUAAUCGGAAUUUAUAUAUUCAUAGAAGGGUAACUCACUUAAAAUCCUAAUAAACAAGCUUCCGACAAUGAUAAUCUUACAUUUGCAUAUCACAAUUGUCAAAGGCAUUGUCACAACCUACCCUCGAUGGAGGGAACAGAUUUAGGGGUAUUGCCUAAAGGACGAGUCUAAAGCCCAUGAUUAAGCGUGGGCUCUCCCAAGUCCAUAGUGACAUUGAGAUAUUUUUUAGGAAUUUUUGCACAAAAAGAGUCGCUACUAGUCUAUUGGGAUUGGCUAAAAACCAAGUGAGAUAUGAGAGUGUAUCCCACUUCUUAUGCAACCAAAGAAUUUAGGGUCGGGGACUUAAUCACACUAAUUAGUCAAUUAGUGCUCUUUCGGUACCUAAUUUUGUUCAUUUUAAAAUAAAAUAUUUUUAUCAUAUAGUUUGGAUUGAUUUUAUGCUUAUCCACUAACAUGUGAGGUAAUCAUGCAAAUACGCAAUCAUCAAAGUAACGAUCAUAACCACCAAGAUCUUAAUUGCAGUAAAAUUGAACACAUACAAUUAAACAUCCACAAACAUAAUUAAAUAUGCAAAUUAAACAUACGAUAAAAUUAACAUACAAACAAAUAAAUGUCUAAUUACACUAAAAAGGAAAUACAUAGCAAUUCCUAAUCAAAUCCUACAUUUUUUAAAUUUCGAAAUUUUAAAAUUUUUUUAAAUUUUUUAAAUUUUUUGAUUUUUUGAUUUUUAUAAUUUAAUUUUAAUUUUUUUUUAAUUUUACUUUAAAAAAAACAAUUAUUUUUUUUAAUUUGAAAAAUGAGAGAACCGGGUCGGGUCCGGUCGGAGACCGGACCCGAGUUCGGUUCGGUUGGGGGCGGGCCGGUCGGCUGGCCCGAAAGACAAGGCCCAGGCCCGACCAGCCAUGGUCGGGCCUGCGUCUGAUGGAGGGUUGGGCCCAACCGAUGGGCCCAACUAUCUUUUCUUUUUCUUUUUUUUGAAAGAGGCCUCUCACGGGCCUGAGUAGAAGAGGGCCGACGGGGCCAGAUCAUAGAUCUGGCCCAGCUCGGCCCUCGGCCCUGAUCCGCAGCAGGGGACGGCGAGGCGCGCGCCGCAGGUGACCCGUCCGACAAGGGCCGUGAUGGCGCCGCUUCAACUGGGCGGACGAGAGCGACCCUCGACAUCUGGAGUCGGGGGUUGCAACGGUUGCGGCGGAGACGUCGGUCGGGGUCAGCGUUUCGCCGGCCCGCGGCCCUUGCCCCGCGACUGUCUAGUCGCGACAGGGGAGGCGACGGUGGUGACCAACGCGGGCAACAACUAACUCGAGCGCGACGCUCCUACUACAUCCAGGUAGGGACGUAGCUCGGCCUCCGGCCAGACCGCGAAGAUGCUCCGGCGGCCAAACAAGACCGAAGUCGGGAACGGUAAAGCGAAGUUUCAGUUGGGCAUUUGGACAAACAGGUGGGGGGCAGUCGGGUUUCGCAAGAUCCGGGACCUAACCAGGACUCGAGGUGGGUCCGAGGUCUGCAGCAAAUAACCAGCAGGCAACGACGAUCUAAACGGGGAUUUAUGGAGGCCGGAGCUCGCCCAAACCGAACGGAACGAGCUCCGGCCGGCUCAACUUAAAAAAAAAAAAACGCGCACCAAGUGUUCAAAGGAAUACCAACCUGGGCUCCGAGGAAGACGGCGGAGGUCGGCGGGCGGACGGGUCUACGGCAACGGCUAGCUGCUCCCUCGAGCUUUCCUGCUCCCUUUAGUUCGCUCCUCCUCUUUCAGACUCCCCUUCUCUCGCUCCCUCUCGGUUUUCUCUCCCUUCUUUUUUUUUUCGGUGCUUGCUCGCUUCUUUUCCUUUUGUUUUUGCAGGUCGUCCUCCUGCCGUGCCAGCUGCCGGCCAAGCUAAUCUCAACCCGCAGAUCACGCUGGCCACCUACCAUCCUGAUUCGCCUGCUCCUCCAUUGCUGCUCCUCUGUCACUGUGCUGCUCUUUUUUCUGUCUGUGCAGGUGCUGCAGCGAAGACCAACCGGAGGAAGAAGACCCUCAUUCACGGGCUGGGUUGAAAGGGAAAAUGGGCUGGGCCAGUCCCAGUGCAGGAGGGGGAAGAGAAAAGAAAAUAGGCGCGGGCCGGGCCAAGGCCAGGUCCGACCCAACCCGAUUGUUUUCGUUCGUUUUUUUUUUUAAUUAAUAAUAAUUAUUUUUAAAAUUAUUUUUUGACUACUUCCUAAUUUGUAUUAAUUAUGUUAUAAACAAAAUAGUAAAAUUUAAAUGUCAACAGGCAUUUAGACAAUCACAUGGUCCACCUUUUCUCCUGCUUAAAAUCUCAAUCACCAAUAGAAAUGAAUGGGAUCAACGCAUUUUUUGAUGAUCAAGUAGAGCCUCACUAGGAGGAAGAGAUUAAGCCAAGUUCAACAAUUUCAAGCCACUUUUAAUACUCAAAUCUCAUGAUGGAAGGUAUAGGGAAAUGCUGAAAUUAGUGAUAUCCUUGAUUAGACAAAUGAUCAAACGGUUGUUUUAAUUAGAUAAAGCCUGAAAGGAUCUCAAUUUACCAUGCAGAAUUCCAAAUAGACCAUUUCUCACAUGACUUCCACAGGUAGAAUGCAAGGCAGAACUUAAUUUUUAAUGCAUAAGUCACACUUCUCUGUCCCUUUCUGUUCUUCCCCCUCAUCUGCAGGGUUUUCGUCAUUGCAAAACUCAGUAACAAGACUAGGUAACUCUAAACAAGGGCAAUGAGCAGUUUUUCCCCUCGCCACACACCCAUGCACGUGAUACUCUGCUCAAACCCUGUAUUAACCAGCUGCAUUAUGCCAUUUGACCAUACGGCUCCUAAGAAACUUUGGCAUAACCCAUCAAUACCAAAAGAACCAAGCUCACAUCCAAGAACUUACUACACCAAAUUGUCACUAAACUAAACUCGCACCAUCGAAAUUACGGCAUGGAACUGCAUAUGCUCAACCAGCCAAACGAGUCACGGCUCCUAGGUAAAAGACACUGCUUCAUUUGGACCAGGAACAUUACAAAUUUUUUCUUUUAAAUCAAUCACGGAGCGAGAAAUUAUGUCCUAUGUGCUUAUAACCAAGAUCGAUAUGAACCCACAGAAGCAAAAAUUGAAAUUCUCAACCAUUUCACGUCAAAGACGGGUUGGGAUGGAGAUGAAGAAUUACGUUCCUUUUGUGAUAAAAAAUAAACGCAUGGACCUGAAUUUCGCUGAAAAUUAAAGAGGUGAAGGAGAAUUGUUUGUUUAUACAGGAUGGGAUGUUUGUGGCAGGUGGGAAAAUUCUGUAAAAAGAUGUUCGCGACCACUCUAGACCGAGAUCACUCUCGCUGAAGUGCACGCUCAUAGAUGAGUCCUUAUCGCCUUCGUGGGCUCUCACCGCCUAAAGCAUCAACAGCUUGCCGCCACUCCGGUACAUCCUCUAAGGAAACUUGAAGGAGCCGAAGGUGACGGUGACGACUCAUAGGGAUUCACCAGCAAAUUGGGGAUUUCGGUUCCACUAGAGGACGGACUGGGUGAGGGUUUCUCCUGUUGACUUGACAGAUUCGUGGAGGAAAUAUAAUUAGUGUGAUUCUCAUUUUUCUAUCUUUUUAGGAAAAAAAAAGUAUCGGGUGAAAGGACGGGGAAGAUGAACCGAACUGAUGAAAAAUGAAGAAGACGAAUACAGAAUAAAAGAAAAGAACAAAAAUCACAUGGACGAAAAUGCCCUCAUCAGUGUGGUGUGUGAGAUGCACAUGUUUCACUGGCCCUUAAUUGGGACUACAUUGUCACUUGAAAUUAUUUGAGAUUAUGUUGAUCACUUCAAACCUUAAUUUAAAAUAAUGUUCACUUUGGGUUUAUUUUUUUAGAAAACAACCACACUUCAAGUCUUUAUUUGAAGCUUUUUCUAAGUAAAUUAUUAGGGAUUAACUUGAAAAUAAAAUUAAAGUGAAAAGGAAACUGUAAGCCUUAUAAAGAGACAAAGAAAUUGAUUGAUUAAGAAAAAUAACAUAACAUCCGAUAAUAUUGUCAAAAUAAUAACUUUUAUUGAAGACACGAGAAGCAUGUGACAAUUUUAUUAUAUUCGAAUUUUAUUACAAGAUCAUAAAAUAUAGCUCAACAAAUGUAUUUUAAAAAAUGUAAUCUUCUUUUACAUCAAAUGAGAAUUAAAAGUAUACUAAGAUCAAUAAAUAAAAGGAUUAAGAAAAGGGAGAGAAACCACACUUCAAUGUACUUUUUUUUUUUUUUUUGGUCAGUACACUUUAAUGUCCUUAACUAUGGUCAUGAAGUUAGAAAAUUACCACAAAAAAAAUAUUAUAUGGACGUUAAUUCAGUUGUAACCUUUUAACUUAAUCAAUUUAGUAAAAAAUCUUUUGAUGAUAUGCCAAUAUAAUAUUUCUAACCAAUUUUGAUUGGCAAUUACUGAUGUGGACGCCAAUCAUUUUACAUGACAUUAUCGAUUCUUAUGUUGAUAAUUUUUUUUUUAACUCUUUUAAAUUUUUUUAUAGAUUUUUAAUUUUUUAAUUUUUUCCUUCUAAUUUUUUUUUAACUCUAUUAGCCUUGUCGAGAUCCAGCUGCAGUAAAUCACAUAUAACCUUACAGCAAUAGUUCGCUGCAGGACGUGUUUAAUGAUGUACAGUAGAUAGAUAAACAUCGAACAUAUAAUAAUGACUCCAUGUAAUGGUGAUACUAAUGUAAUCAGUAAUGUCCAUAUCAUCGUUGAUGUGAAAUUUUCCUGCAUUAGUUGCACUGGAAACAUACCUGAACAUUUGCUGGAAGUCCAAGGAAUGGCUACACAUGUAUCACGCAAUUCGCAAAAGGUCUCUGAACCUACGCAUAUGCUUAAUGACUUCAGAAUCUAUCUUUUUGUUCCAUUCCUCGUCAAAAACACAAGUAAUGCUCUCCAAUUUUUCCAGAAGGUCAGGAUUAAUUCCCAUAGCUUUCAAUAAUACCCAGUUGCUUGUCUCUUGGAGAAAGGAUAGUCUCGUCUUUGGAUUCUGAAAGAGUGGAUGGUGAAGCACCACCAAUGUCUUUGGCCUGCCAGACAUCAGAAGAGUUCAGAAUGCCGAUGUCUUUGUUGUACGGCCACAGGAGAUAAACCGACUUCAGUAAUUCACUAAGCACCUUUGUCGAAGGCAUAGGUCGAUAGCAAUACCUGAUUGACAGGAAAUUCUUUAACACAAAAUGAAAUGAGACAUGGUAAGAAUGUCAAGACGACAGGAGAGAAAAAUAAUUAUUAAAUCUGGCUUUUAAAGAAAAACAUGCAAAGGAUAUUUUCGUAUAAUGUCAAGUGCUGCAAGAAGCUGGGUGGCAUAUUUUUCAGAUGACAUGAGAGAACAGCUCAGAUUCACAGGGGGAACAACCCAAAUAAGGAACAACACGAGGACCACUAACUCCAAAAUGAUGCUACAUGACCCUUCUACAAAAGCCAGUUGUGUCAUAUUGAAUCAAAUUUGAACUACUUCGGCAAACAUGAGAUGACAAUAAAGACUGAGAUGAACAAGGCAACACAAUUCGAAUUGCCACCCCUGCGAGCCAAAUUUAAUCGAAAUAGGAACUAUCACUUUAUCACUAAAUGGUUACUAAUUGAGUAUCAUAGUAAGAAACUGCCAAGUUCAGCCUAGAUAGAAACAUCAGCCUUAUUUUAUGAAACUGAAACAUGUGAGGUUCAAAACUCAGCUCAUGAUAUUGAAUCCAUCAACGUAACUCGAGGCAAGUUAAUGGCCUAAUAAUGGCCUGUCUCAUGUACGACUUCGAAAUUGCUGCCUAAGAGCUAAUUCAAUGUCAUCAAAAGAAGAGGACAAAAGGUCUUAGUUUGAUUAAGGCAUGGAGAUUAUCUCUGUAAACAUGCUUGAGAGUCAGGUAAAAGUAAUACCCAGGCAGGCAAGCACAAACUACAAUAAGAAGUCUGCAGCAGUUGAUCUCAGGAGUGCCGGCAGGAGCAAAAUAAUGUGGUAAAUCUCUCAGUUCAAACCCUUUUUUCACAUGUCAUGACAUAAAAUUUACCUCAUCAGUUGGAGUAGCAAUUCGACCCAAAAAAAAAAAAAAAAAUUGAAGUAGCAAAGAUGAGGGAAGGCCAUCUUCCCUCCACAAGUUAACAUCCUCUGUUGAGUUCUCCAUCUGUAUGUUUCCAAAUCAAGAUUCAUUCUAAAUACUCGUUCCACAAUCAAUAUAUGGUCCUAGUGAUGAUGGAUAUCUCUCGUGCAAGCUGUGGAACGGCCAGCUGGAGAGCACCUGAACUGCUUCUUUUCUGGUGGGCGUCAAACAUCAGUAAUGAAUAUGUUUAGUAUUAGUGGAGAACAUCCACUCGGCAAAUAUCAAGAUCCUGACAUUAAAAUUGAGAACAACACAACGAAUCUAUCCUCGGUGGAGUCCAUACCAAAAGCUCAUAAUUUAAAACUGCAUUUAUAAAUUGAGGGGAGAGUGUCAUCAUCUGGAUCUGAGUUUCGUAAAUGCGAAAUUAAAUCAUGAGCUUCGGUAUGAACGCCACCACCAAGGACAGAUCCAGCCAUGGUGUUAUUCUCAAAUUUUACGUGACAUUCUCACUAUUUACCAAAUAGAUGUACCCACCAAUGACGCAAACAAAAAGGACACAACCAUCACCUAGUGUUUGGCGCCUAACAGGAAGAGGUAGUUCGGGUGCUUGCCAUCCAGACAUUCUACAACUUGCAAAACAGACAUCAGAGAUCAACAAAAGAGCCAUCAUCACUAGGACCAUAUACAGAUGGAGAAUCAGUUCACGUCCUUGCUAUUGUUCACAGCCUGCAAGACAUACAUCAAAGAUCAACAAAAGAGCCAUCAUCACAGGGACUAUAUAUAGAUGGAUAUGACAUAUUCGACGGUCAAUGAAUAGAGACAGUUGCAUUAAACCUCCACAAACUUUAACACAACAUAAAAAGCAAUUCUGAAGAACCAAACUUCCAACAUAACAUAGGUACUCUUUAAAAGAAAUGAUUGUUCUAACAAGUAAAAUUAUCGAUCUGAAGAUUUUAGCCAAGAAUUUGGACAUGAUCACCACGGCAUAGAUUCAGAUUAUGCACAAAUCAAUCUUGAGGAAAAGAAGAUCAAAAAGCUGUCAUGAGCACUUAACAAUGGCAUGAUAUCCCAAGGGAGAUUCAUCCUCAAGAAGGCAUUUACUAAUGCCCAUAUCAGACUAGACCCAGUCCAGUUCCAGAUAGGCCCGGAGACUGGCCAUUAUAAUUUUAUUUUGUAUUCCUUGUAAGUUCACACAGAGCAGGAAAUAGAACCAUUAAACAAAGAAGCCUGCACAGUCCACAAUGCACGAUCCAUCAUAAAUUGUCCUGAAAAGGAGACGACACGGCAGCGGUCUCUAGCUACACGUAGGGUCAGCAUUUCUCACACCAACACGCAGUAAAUAAACAAACCCAAGAAAAGUCAUACAGAGAAACAUCAAACUCAAAAGAGCAUUCAUAAUGUCAAUCGUUCCGCACAGAUUAAGGUUUUCCGAGCCCUAAAAAGAAAAAAAGUUCAAAACAUUCUACCAUAAGCAAUCGCUAAAGAUCCGAAACUCCAGCAAAUUACACCGAAGUUACCCAAACCCAAAACCUAAUCCUUUGCAACCAACCAAAGCCGAGAACGAAAGAGAAAACUCAGAGACGCGCGGCAGAAAACAAGACCCAGAAAAGGCGAACCCUUCAAGAAGCGAGGAACGAAAUGCUUCAUUCAUAUAAGACCCAGAAAGGGUUUUAGUUUUGUAAUGAGAAUCGUCUCUUAUUUAAAAAUUCCGCGUUCUUGUUUUUUUUUUUUUCUUUUUUGCGAUGCUAUUUCUACCCUUUUUUUGGCUAAUACACUCCUUUUUUCUAGCGAACUUAUCAAAAUACCCUCCUAUUUCCCUCUCUUUUCUAUUUAUUAUUAUUUUUUUUUAUCAAGCUGACCCAUUUCUUUUCUUAUUGCUUUUUGUUUCUAUCAUCCCUCUCAUCUUAUCAGCUUUACAAUAUAAAUGUCAAAUUUCACUUAACAAGAUAUUGUUUUAUCCUAUAUCAUAUUAUCGCUUUGCACAGAGAAUGUCGUUAAUUUUAAUUUAUAAUCUCAUGUUUUUAGUCAUAAAGUUUACAUUAAAUGUUAGAAAUUUCUAGUAUUUAACGGCUUUUUAAUUACCUAAUUAAAAAAAAAAAAAAACUUUUUUUCUUUUUUCUUUAAAUAUUAAUAAUAAUAUUUUUUAAUUAAAAAUUUUAAUUAUUUUUUGUCUUUUCCCUUUUUUGUCUUUUCUACUGCACUUCCCCUUCGACGACUCCUUCAGGAUGCCAACAUUUGCUUUCCUUUUUGAUUUUUUCUGAAAAUUUUUGCUGCACUUUUCUAUUGCUUUUUCUUUUGUUUUAUUUUAUUUUAUUUUUUCCUCCCCUUUGGUCUUCUUCUCCUUUAGUUUGCCCACUGCACGCCCGAAGCUUCUCUUCCCCAAAACAUGGUCUCAUCGAGACUCAGCCAAACAACAACGCAGCCCGGAACAACCGGCGACCCUUCCACCGCCGAACUUCCGCCGGCCAUUAGUUGGCCAGAGAUCAUCACCGUCGCCGGAAUGCUUCCGGCUAAAGCUUGAUUUUUUAACUCUAAAUUUUCGUAUGACCAAAACUCCGUCGAUUCGAGUACUAACAACGGCAUGAGCAAACAACACGAUGGAAGGGACUCAAACUCGAACAAAGAGAAUAUCACAGCAAAGAACCUCGCAGAAACCAUUUCCAAAUCUCAUUUUGACAUUUCAUCAAACGCAUAGCAUGCACCAGCUAAAGGAAGGAACCAAGCUCGCCUGGGGCUAUUGUUUGGACCAAGCAACGAUCAUCGACACACAAACAACAUUCCAGACCAACUCAGAGACAGAUUACAUCAAAUUUAACAUAGGUAUGAACUCAAGGACGACAAGGCUCGGUCAAGACCAACUAAGAUAAUCGGACUUCAUUCAAGCAUCCUUCCGACGCGGUCGAGACUCGAACACAGCCCUAAGCUCCUAUCGAAACAUACCAAAACACACAACAAAAUCAACGAAGGACCAGCCGGACCGAAGCUCGCGCGAACUGGUCGGUCGCGAGCUCCGGCCCGACACCUCCUAAAACGGGGCACCUACGGUUCGGAAGGCUUACCCGGUUUGGAUGAUGAGCAACGGGCGGAUCUCAAGAAAUGCCGAAGCGCUCUCUCGGUCACACUCUCUCCCUCUGGCUCGCCCUCCGUUCUCUCGACCUCCCUGGUCUCGCUCAAGCUCCCUGGUCUCGGUUCUCGCCGUUCCAGAAGAAAGGCGUCGGGGAGCGGGAUCCCGUGCACAGUCGAGCCUUCCUUUGGCUCGACACCCUCUCUCGCUCCAAACUCUUUCUCUCGAGUCUCUCUCCCUCAAGCUCUCCCCGUGCUUCGGUUCUCUCUCCCCCCCCCUUUCUCUUUCCUUUCUUUUUCUCUUUUCUUCUGCAGGUCCACGCGAAGACCUCUGCCGUGCCAGCUGCCGGCCGGACUGCCCCCGACCCGCGGAUCACGCCGCUCGCCUGCCACCGAUCUCCCUGCUCUCUCCCUGCUCCCUCCUUUCUGUCUUUUUUUGCAGGUCCGCGUGAAGUACGGCCAGAGGGAGACGACCAGCUCGUGCGCGGGCUGGGCUGAAGGGGAAAAAGGGCUGGGCCGGGCCUAGCGCGAGGGAAAGAGAAAAGGAAGGGGGCAGGGCGGGCCAAGGCCGGAUCCGGCCCGACCCGGCCCCUAAGUUUUUUUCUCUUUUUUAAAAUUUUUUUAAUAAUUUUAAUUAUUUUUUUUUGGCGACUAAUUACUAACUUUUAAUGCUAUUAAAUCUUAAGUAAAAUGGCGAAAUUUAGGUGUCAACAAAAAUAAAAUAAAAAUUUGUUGAAAGGAGUGCAUGGAAAUAGAUUUUCCUUACCAAACAAUGAAAAAUAUUUUAUAGUUCAUUUUCAAGUUUCAGCCAAACAAAAAUAUAUAUAUUUUUUCAUUUUCUUGAGAAAUGGCUUCCUAAAAAACAUUUUUCAGAAACAUCACAUUUUUUGCCAAACGAGUGAAGCUCAAGAAAGAAAACAAAUUAAAUGUCGAAACAUAGAUAAUCACAAAUAGGAAAAUGUUAUCACUAGUUUAAAAAAAUCAUUAAUCUCAUUUUAAAGGCCUAUUAUAAUUCAAAGAUGAAAAAACACUUGAAAUUUUUGUUUUGCAACUAAUAACGAAUUUUGACCAAAAAAAUCUAAUAACAAAACUAUUGUGCAAUAAAAUGGCUCCUUAGUCCUUUCGCUCAUAUCAAAUUGCCUAAAAUCAAAAUAAGUGAUAUUGAUUAUACAUAAAAAAGAAAUGAAUUAAAGAAAAGAUCAAAAAAUGAAUAAUGAUUUAGUAGACGAAAAAAUUGCCCCCUCAAUUUGAAUCUCAUAGAUGAAGAAGUGCAAGGAUCUAACUUACAAGAUCAAUAUUCGAAUAAUAUGAGUCAAAGCUAAAUUUUAAAAAGAAAAAAAGAUUUUGAUUGAAUUCCAUAUAAAUUUUACCUAAUAUAGCUCCAAUGCUUGAUUCAUUUGGAAGAUUCACGUCACCACGUGACAUCUUGUGGACACCUGAAUCUUAGCCAACAAAUUGAGUGUAUUCCAAUACAACUAAAUAAGAAAAUGCUGAUGAGGAUUUAAGACACUACUCAAACAAUACAAGAGAUGGUAAAUAAAAAGAAGAUAUAUAUAACCAAUAAAAAAACAAAAAAACAACAAAAGAGAGAGAUGUAGAAAAAAAAAGAUUAAAAGGUGAAAGAGAAUCUUUAACCUUUAUUCUUAUAUUUGACUAUAAGCAAACACUUAUGGUACAUUGAUCAUUUGGAUUUCUAAUCACAUUAGGAUUGGAUAUAAUAGAAUAUGAAAUUUUGGAAUUUUGCUAUAUCCUAUUCACUAUUUAGUAAAUCGCAGUAUAAAGCCGAAUAUAUUUACAUCAUAUCAUAUAUAUGUUUUUGUGCAAACGGCAUAUCAGUGUAAAUGAAUAUAAAAGUUCAUAAAUGGAGAUAGUGAAAAUCUCUCGUGAUAUUAUUCCCUAAUUUUUUUUAAUUUUCUUAUUUUAUUUUAUUUUUCCACUUUUUUUUAAUUAUUUUCUUAAUUAUUUCUUUUUUCCCAUUCAUCAUUCUCUAAUAAAAUUUAAUUAAAUAAUCAAAUGUACCAAUAUACCAAAAUACAACAAUACCUAAAUAUAUGUAAUAAAUAUAAAUAUAUAUUUAUAUUUAUCGAUUGAAUGUAUAUUAUAAGGUAGAAUUAAAGAAGAAUUUAUAAAUAAAAAUAUUAUUAAAUUUAAAAAUGAUUUUUUAUUCUUUUGUCAUUUUCAAUUUUUAUAUUAUAAUACAAAUAUUAUUUAUAUUGAAAAAUAAUUUCAAUUUUGUUAAUUUAAUAAGUUUGUUAUUUAAGAAAAACAAAUUUCCUAUUAUGGACGUUAGAAAUCUUAUCUACCUUUUUGUCCUAUCUCUCCCAUGAAAUAAUUUUAUCUGGCAUAUAUCUCUUUUAUAUAUGACUUUAUCCUGCCUUGAGUAGGCAUCGAACAUAAGAUAGGAUAAAUCAUAUCUUAUCCAAAAUUUUAUCUUAAUUGUCAAACGCAAUCUUAAAUAUUAACUUAAAAUUAAAAUGAAAGAGGUACUUUAAGCCGAAGCCUUAGUUAGAGGCUUUCUCGAUAACACACUCACCAUUGACCAUUACUAUAAUACAAUCACCAAUGAAUUGUUUGACACAACUAUCCUCGAAUGAAAAGGAAAUUGUAUGGAUGAACUCUUUCAUUUGUUGAUAAGCGAGAUGCCUGCAUGUCUCACCCAAAUACUGUCGAAGUCAUCCUUUCCAGAGCGUCCGAUAGGGAGGGAGGCUCUGGAAUUCAUUACGAAUUUAUCAAAAGGACAUGUCAAUGGAUUGAUAAAAAAAAAUAAAAAAUAACAUCCAAUAAUGAUAUCAAAAUAAUACCUUUUAAUCUAAGAAAUGAGAAACAUGCAGCUAUUUGAUUAUACUUGAAUUUUGUUACAAAAAGGAUACAAGUAGAUAAAUUUGAGGUGAAAAAGAAACUUUAAGCUAAUAAAUAGACAUCACAAACGAAUUGAAAAGAACAAAUAAAAUACACAUUUUCUUUUAUAGAUAAAAAGACAGCUCAAGAAGUAAAAAGUGCAAACUUUUCUAUAAAAUAAACGAGAAUAACACAAUGCAAAAUACGAACAAUAAAAGUAUUGCCAAAAAAGGAAAAACAACAAUAGGUGGGGCCCUCCCGAAUCGAAUUUGCGCCCCGUGACUACAAAGUGGGUGCUUUGCCAUCGGCAAAUGAGGGAAAAUUUUAAAUAAAAGUUGGAAGUUGAGUAAUUUUUUCAAAUAAUAAUUUAAAGUGAAUAUUAUUUUAAAUAAGAAUUUUAAUUGACAAAUCAAUUUUAAAUAAAGGUUUAAACUCGCCAGCCAGCCACAUCUUCACUAGCCGACAAGUCAAGUAAUUGUUUUGGCCACUGAGAAGAGACAUUUUUGUCCAAAAAAUUCUGGGUUGAUUUUUUCUUUCCCUCUUUUUUCAGAUUUGAGGAUUCAAUUGGUGAAAUUUCUUGUUGUCGCUCCACCUCUUCAUCUAGAGCCAACAAUUCCUCAAUUUAUUCCCCCCCAAAACCCAAUCUUCAUCGUCGAAGCUCUCUUUCUCCAGGGGUUCGGAGAUCGCGACACUGAGUAACAGCAAAAUAGUCAGCGUGAGAAGGGCGAAUAUCGAAAUGGGUUAUCCCAAACCCAUUGCUUUUUCACGAGCUCGAGGCACAUUCAAGGAAAAACGAGAGAUCUUGACCCCGUUUUCAGGGGUUAAGAUCUUGCACAUCAGUGUAGAAGCAAGAAAGGAGGAGAGAAAGAGAGAAGCAAUGGUGGGGAGAGACUUUUUAUUUGCCUGAUUAACUAGAACUUUAAAAAGUAAUUUAUAUUGGAUGAGGUUGGCAUGUCUGUAAUCGCAUCUUGAGCAGGAUGUUUAGCUAAUCACGAAAAUUUGUUUACUAAAUAUCAUGAUUAACAUCAACCUGCUUCUUCGCACUUCCAAAGAAAACCAUAUUCGUCCUUCACGUCGAGAUCGCCCAAAUCGAACUCCCCCAACCUGACGCCGACUUCUCGCUCUUCCCCCCUCCACCCUCCCCCCCAACUCCUCCUCCAAUCCCCCAGCCGCCCCCAUCUCUGCGGCAACCUUUGUGCCCCCCACCGCGACGAGUUCGCCCUCCAUAUCGAAAUCCCUGAGCUUGCGCUCGUCAAAGAGGUCGCUCCUGGAGUUGCACCAGAAUCUCUUUCCGCUGAUAUUGAGUCUCAGAGCCGGCAUCGGUCCAGCCUGGAUUAUCCAGGCGGACGGAGUCGCUUGCCUCGCUGACGGCGGUCCUGGGAUACCUGCUGGAACCGUUGAUCGAGAAGCAACUGGCCGGGAUCAUGGCCCCGAUUCAUCCUCGAUCUCGUCCAAGUUCCUAGGGUGGUUGACCGAGUCGAAGUCGGAGUUGUGGAGCAAUUCCCAGUCCUAAAACUCAUCCAAGAAUUAAAAAGAGAAAAAAUUCAAUCCAAAAUUUUUUGGACAAAAAUAUCCUUUCUCCGGUGGCCGGAACAAUCACACAAUUCGUCCGCUAGUCCUCACUAGUUGGCAAGUUCAGAUCCUUAUUUGAGAUUAAUUUAUUAUUUUAGCUUUUUAUUUGAGAUAAUGUUCUCUAGAGAUACUUUUAUUGUAAUGUAACAUGCGUAAGCAUGUGUGUAUGUACGUACAGACUGUGCAACCAAUCAUUAACUGAUACGUGUGGAAUUCUGGUAGCUAAGGGGUCUCUCAUGGUACCGCACUUUAAUGUGCUUAGCGAUGGUCAUGAAAUGCAUGGCCUCAUGGAAAUUGGUAAUCUUGGAACUUCAGUAUAUACGGGCAACAAAGGCUAGGUUACCGCAUGAUGAGAGAAAUAUGCACUUGUCACAUGAUUCAACAUUUCAGCUUACCAAUUUAACCGUCAAAUUUGAAAGAAGCUAAUGGAGGAUAGAUGUGGGGUUGGUAUACCAAUCUUGAAUUUUUUGUGAUUAGAAUAUAUGUGGUACUUGAUUAUUAAUUUGGAUUUUUGGUGACAUAACAUUUGUAGAUACUAUGCAUGAACAAAUAUUUUUUAAAACAGUCUUAAUUUUCACAUGCACGGCAUUAUGGGCAAUGUUCAUGGAGAAUUAAAAUGCAUCAAAGCUCUAAUUUCAUUAAAGAUGAGAAUUGAAGAUGAACCAUAACGAUUUUAAUAGUGAUCAGGUGGCUUUCGAAUCAAAUUUUGUGCAUCUCAGCUAAUUCGCCUAUGCAGAUGAUCUGGAGGACUGAUCCCUCGCAUUAGCUUGAUGUAUUCAUGAUUUUACUUGGGAAUUACUCCUCAAACGACGGUUGAUUCAAGACCACAUGGAAACAAAAAGCACCUUCACAUACCAUUUAAGUCAAGUAGAAAUGUAACCGUGCAUUUUUAUCCGGGACCAUGUCGAACAUACCAGUAAGGAAGGAUAAAACCUCUGAAAACAUUUGUAGCAUAUUAAGAAGGCUCAUAUCAGCUCAAGAUUAGAACUCCAGAUAUUAUAAAUUAGGUUACUUCUACAUCAACAGGAGAAUCUUGAUUGUGUAGCUGAUCAGAAAGUCAAUAUGGACACAAAAGUUAAUUAAUAUGACCCCAUGUCACGUUCACAUGAUGACUAUUGGUUUUAAUUUUCCACCUUAAAGCCCACAUUAGUGGCUAAUAUCUCAUUUAAAGAUUAAAAAGGCACGUCCAGCUUUACCGACCCUCUUUGUUUUAUAUUCUUUUUGAUGGCCGAAUCUCAUUACACAAUUCAUACAUUGUGGUUUCAUUGGAAAACAUACAUCUAAAAAAGAAAGAAUUAAUUGGGCGAGCGCGACAAUUUUUUAAUUUACUAUAAAAAUAACAAUUUGUUAUGAUAAUUAUAAAAUGUUAUAAGGUUCACUCCUUCAAACAUUCGUGGCUCACAACGUUGUUUUUCUCACAGUAACCAAAAAACUAUCAUGUUAAGAAAAUCCUUCAAGAAAUUACAUAAAUAGAUAACCUUUCUUUGUUGUGAUUUAAAUUUUUUAAGUAGUUUUGACAUUUUUGUUCAACUAGAAAGCAAAGUGGGGUAAUUUAUCAUUUAUUUCAAUAAACUAAAUAAGAAAGUAAAAUAUGUGAUGUCAUUUUUAAGUUCCCAUUAAAUUAUGAUUAACUAUUGAUCCCAAAAAAUUAGCACUAUAACAUUUUAUAGUGACAUUGAAGUGGCGACCCUACCAUUUAAUUAUUCUUAAAUUUUUAAAUAAAGAUCUGAAAUGUGUUCUCUUUUUUUAAAAAAAUAUUAACAUUAUUUCCAAUUAAAAUAUGAAAUGAUCAAUACAGCCUCAAAUACGGGCUUCAAUGAGCGCAUGCAUUUAUCAAGUCAUGGUUAAGGGCAUUUUUGUCCUAAGCUAUUUUUUCUUGCUUUUCUUUGUUCUCUCUGUUCCUUUUCUUCCUGCAGUCGACUCUCCAGUUCAUCUACUUCUUUCUUUCUCUUUUUUUCUGUCUUCCUUAGCACGCUGAACGGAACCCCUUCUUCGAACAAAAGCACAAAGCAAAGGCAACAUCUCGGCUGGUUCAGAUCGACUGGUUAAAGGAGUCUCGACUGAACCAGCAGAAGCAAAAUGUAUCAAUAAGUCAAAGAUGAUUACGUCCUCUGUGCUUAUAACCAAGAUCAAUAUGAACCCACCGAAGCAAAAAUUGAAAUUCUCAACCUUUUCAAGUCAAAGAUGGGUUGGGAUGGAGACCAAGAAUUACGUUCCUUUUGUGACAAAAAAUAAACGCAUGGACACGAAUUUCGCUGAAAAUUAAAGAGGUGAAGGAAUUGUUUGUUUAUAUAGGAUGGGAUGUUUGUGGCAGGUGGGAAAAUUCUGUAAAAAGAUGUUUGCUACCUACUCUAAAUAGGGAUCACUCUUGCUGAAGUGCACGCUCAUAGAUUAGUCCUUAUCGCCUUCGUGGACUCUCACCGCCUAAAGCAUCGACAGCUCGCUGCCACACCGGUACAUCCUCUGGGGAAACUUAAAGGAGCCGAACGUGAUGGUGACGACUCAUGGGGAUUCGCCAGCAAAUUGGGGAUUUCGGUUCCACUGGAGGAGGGACUGGGGGAGGGUUUCUCCUGUUGACUUGACAAAUUCGUGGAGGUUUUGUACCUGAUUGCAUUAUCUUGCAAAUAUAAUUGGUGUGACUUCUCAUUUUUCUAUCUUUUUAGGAAAAAUGUUAAAGUAUCAGGUGAAAGGACGAGGAAGACGAACCGAACUGAUGAAGAAUGAAGAAGACGAAUCCAGAAUAAAAGAAAAGAACAAAAGGCACGUGGACGAAUAUACCCUCAUCAUUGUGGUGUGUGAGAUGCACAUGUUUCACUGGCCCCUUAAUUGGGGCUACAUUGUCACUUGAAAUUAUUUGAGAUUCUGUUGAUCACUUCAAAUCCUUAUUUAAACUAAUGUUCAAUUUGGAUUUAUUUUUUUAGAAAACAACCACACUUCAAGUCUUUAUUUAAAACUUUUCCUAAGUAAAUUAUUAGAGAUUAACUUGAAAAUAAAAUUAAAGUGAAAAAGAAACUGUAAGCCUUAUAAAGGGACAAAGAAAUGGAUUGAUUAAGAAAAAUAACAUAACAUCCGAUAAUAUUGUCAAAAUAAUAACUUUUAUUGAAGACACGAGAGGCAUGUGACAAUUUUGUUAUAUUCAAAUUUUAUUACAAGAUCAUAAAAUAUAGCUCAAGAAAUGUAUUUUAAAAAGUGUAAUCUUCUUUCACAUCAAAUGAGAAUUAAAAGUAUACUAAGAUCAAUAAAUAGAAGGAUUAAGAAAAGGGAGAGAAACCACACUUCAAUGUACUUUUUUUUUGGUCGGUACACUUUAAUGUCCUUAACUAUGGUCAUGAAGUGAGAAAAUUACCACAAAAAAAUAUUAUAUAGACGUUAAUUCAGUUGUAACCUUUUAGCUUAAUCAAUUUAGUAAAAAAUCUUUUGAUGAUAUGCCAAUGUAAUAUUUCUAGCCAAUUUUGAUUGGCAAUUGCUGAUGUGGAUGCCAAUCAUUUUACAUAACAUUAUCGACCCUUAUGUUGAUAAUUUUUUUUUAUAGAUUUUUUAUUUUUUAAUUUUUUCCUUUUUUCUUUUUAUUUUUCGUUCUUCCUCCACUGGUCAUCUAACCUCAGCGAUGACCAGUAAGGGCACCACGAAUCAAAUUUGCAACCCCUACACCACAAGUUAGGUGCUUUACUGCUGGGUCAUGCACCGAUCACUUUAAAAAUUUUGCAAUAUGUUAUGAACGUGCAACCAAUAAUCUACCGAAACAUGUUGAGUCCUGACAGCUCUAUUAGACUACCUUCCUUGUUCGCAAUUCUAAGUUAUAAUGUACUUACUGAAGGUCAUGAAAUGCGAGGCCUUGUGGUAAUUUGUGAUCUGGGGACUUCAACUUCUAUGGGGCACAAGUGCUAGCUUGUUAACUCUUUUCAAUUUUCGCUAAAAUAAAUCAUUCUGUAAUUAACGUUUAUGUUUGACAUUGAAUAAGCGUUGCUCGGUAAAUGUGAUAAUUAAUUAAUUGGAAACUCUUAAAUAAAUAAAUAAAAGAGUCACUAAUAGUAGGUAACAAAAGCGUUACAACUAAGUUGGGAACUUUUUUGAAAAAAAAGAAAAAGCUGGGAGGUUUACAUAUUUACCUUCACCUAUGGGAAAUUACUAACGCACACCGAAAUUACUCAAUAAAUAUUCGACAUAGGGGUAAUGAUUUUUGUGUUAUAAAAACCUACUCAGCACGUAGACAAGUUAGAGUUACUAAUUGCGUAUUCAUUGAUAGUAAUUUAUUUGGAGUAAUACGAGAAAAAAUCCCCAAUACUAAGUACAAAAUGCAUUCGAGUCAAAGUACUUUCGAAAGCCUUCUUCUUCUUUGCAGAAUUGGGAUACCACUCCAUAUGACUCCAUCAAGAGUCUCGGGAACCGUUUAGUGAAGUAAUUGUAAUAAUUCUCGGGAACUGGUCCGAGGAGCUCCUGCCAAAACCAAUUAGAGGUGAUAAGUUCGCACGAUCCAAGAUAUGGGAAGUUACUGAAGAAGCCUUACAUGCAUGUGUAGCUACAGAAAUCAUCAACAAUUCGACACAAUGCAAGUACCUGAACUUCUUCUGGAAUCUCUAUGUAGUGGCUCCACUUAUUUCGCACAACUUGCAGUAAGUCUCGGAGACGGCUGUAGUUGUAGCGCCUAUUGCUUUUGAGAAUGUUAGCCAAAAAUAUAGGUUCUAUUUUAUCAUCCCAAUUCUUACCAAAAACCAGUGGCGCCUUGCUCUCCAAUUCGUUCAAAAGAUCUGAAUUGGGUGCCCUUUCAGCCUCCAGUUGUAUUCUAUCGCUAGUGUCACGGAAAAAGGACAAUCUUAUCUCUGAACUCCAAAAAAAUGGAUGGCAAAGCACCUCCGACGCCUUUGGCCUGUCGGUAAAAAGAAAUUAACUAUUGACUAUUGGAAAAUUAUAACAAAAGAUGAAAUGUAAGCCAAAAUGUUCAAAGAAAUCAAUUAUAUGAAUACCAACACUGAGAUGGCCCACUUGCUAAAUUCAUACGCAUCACAAAUAUGGUAUCGGCGCAAUGUUUAAAGCAAUUAAAAUUGCAUUAACGAGAGAGUGACCAAAAUGACCAAAAACUUCCAUGCACUUUACGAUAAAUGACUCCAAGUUAAAAGUAGUAGUUUGCUAUAACAAGAAGCCAAUAAUGGUUUACUUGGAGCACUUUGAAUUAGUAACAUAAUCAUUCAGUCCCUAGAAAUCUUCAAGACAAAAUUAGGUAGUAAUUCUCCAAUUUUGUAGUUAGCUCUGUAAAUCUUCACAGGAAAUCUUCUUAGUGUAUAUAUAGCAAGAAUCCUCUAAAUAGUGUGCUAGGAAUAAUCAGAAUUUAUAUAUUCGCAGGAGGGUAACUCACUUAUAGCCCUAAUAAACAAGCUUCUGACAAUGAUAAUCUUACAUUUGCAUAUUACAAUUGUCAAAGACAUUUAGACAAUCACAUGGUCAACCUUUUCUCCUGCUUCUAAUCUCAAUUACCAAAAGAAAUGAAUGAGAUCAACACAUUUUGAUGAUCAAGUAGAGCCUCACUAGGAAGAAGAGAUUAAGCCAAGUUCAACAAUUUCAGGCCACCUUUAAUACUCAUUAAAUUUGAGUGAUAUAGGGAAAUAUAAAUUAACAAUGGUUACAAAAUCUAUCAAACAAUAUAAUGAAAAUAGCAGUGAUGCAAAUAAAAAAUUAUGUACUCACCUCAAUUUAUAAUCCCAUUCAAGUAAACGUGAAAUCAGAUCAUGAACUUCUGGUAUGAACUCCACCCUGAACAAGUCCUUUUUGUUGUUCUCAAUAUUGAUGCAGCGUUCUCGAAGUUUACCAAAUGGAUGUCUUCCACGGGUAAUGCAAAAGAACAAGACCAAACCUAAACUGAACAUAUCCAUUGCGCGUGUUUGAUGCUCAUGAAGAAGCUGUUCAGGUGCUUGCCAUCCCAAGCUUCCACAUCCUGCAAUACACAGACAUUAGAGAUCAACCCCCCAAAAAAAAAAGCCAUCAUUACUAGGACCACAUAUAGAUAAAAAUGACAGAAUCACCGGUCAAUGAAGGGAAACGGUGGCAAAAGCUGUCAAUCUCCACAAACUUUAACCCGACAUAGAAGGCAAUACAAAUCAACCCGACUUCUAGCAUAAUAAAAAGAGACUGGUCCAGCAAGUCACAAUAUCGGCAUAAGUUUUUAGCCAGUAAUCUGAAAAUGAUUACCUCCGCAUAUAUUCAGAUUAUGAUUGGAUCAAUCAUGAGGAAAAGAAAAUGAAAGGUUUGAACAAAGCUGUCAUGAACACUUACCAGUGGCUGGACUUUCCAGAGAGAAUUUAUCUUCAGGAAGGCAUUUAGUAAUGCCCAUGUCAGAUAGCUGAGCAACUAAUGAGCUAACUAAUGAUCUAUUCUCAGUAAUCAAGACUUUAUGAGGCCUUAAGUCGUGAUGGAUCAAUCUCAAAUUAUGCAAAUGGACAAGUCCUGAUACCACGCCCCUGUAUCAUAAUACAAAGUAGACAUUAUGACUUCAACCAACAAAGUAUCUGGAAGCAAAUAGUAUAUGGGCCACUUGAAGGCAUUGGAUACAUAAUUAAAAACUAAGCCAUAUCCUAUUGGAAAUUAAGGAACUUCUCUAAACACACUAAGACCCGAUCGGAUGCCAGAAGUCUUUUAUAAACUCUGAAUGAAAAACCCAGUACAGAAUCUGAUUUCCAUAUGAAUCACAUCAACAUUUGCUGAUAUGAGUGCAUAAGGAUUAGGAUUUAUGGAAUUAAAAAGGGAGCCGAAUAUACUGAUCUUACCAAAAUGGGAACUUUAUGAUGUCAUCACUAUAAUUGAUGAUAACUAAUCAAUUUCCAUGGGAAGAAAACUAAGAGUUCAGCCAGUGAAAUUCAACUUAACCUAAGCCGCAAGGUUCAAAACUCAAAAAGUUUUUGCAGGAGAGCUAUUUAGUCCUUUGAUUAGCACCUGAUGCCUAGAUAAGAGUUCAUAGUGAUAUCUACGAGAUGCUUCUCAGACAUAAGCACAAUAUUACAGUUAUCUCUCGAUUCAAUCCUUUUUGGCACGUGAAAACAUGAAAAUUACCUCAUUAGAUUCAGUAACAAAGGUGAGGGAUGUCCAUCUGCCCUCCACAGCUCAACAUCCUGCAUCCGAACCCUAAUAGAAUCCAAUUUCUUUUUAUAACCAACCAAUGCUGGAUUAUUGAAUGAGUUAAUUGGAGAAUCUGAGUAUGCUUGAAUUAAAUCCUCUAAGCUGCAAACAGCAUGCUCUAGAGCAAGAAACAUGAAAUCAUCGUUUUGCUCCAUUCCAUAAUACCGAACAAUAUUUGGAUGUUUGUCAGAUUCCAUCAAAUUCCGAAUCUCGUUGUAGGCAAUUUCAUGAUGACCAAGGACCAUUCGUUUUACCGCAACAGCCCGACCUUCAUAAGAGCCCUCGACGACGAUUGUCCCAUUACUUCCCCUACCGAUUUCUGUUCUUGAUACGCAGAGUUUGCCAAUGCUACGUUCUCCAUUGCCACCACCAGGAAAGUUACUAUACUCCGUUCCCGGGUUAUACUUGCUCCUUUUGUGAAGUCUGCCUUCGUUUUCUGAAGAGACGCGAUCCUCCUUUCUGUCAAGACUUCCAUGCCCUUCCAAAAAAAAGCGAAAUUAAUGAUACAAGUCUCUAACAUCUAAAUCAACCUCUUCCGGCGUCCGUAUGUGGUCAUGGUUCCGACUAUUGUCAAGCGUACCUUCGAUUUCUGAAGAAGACUCGACUUCUGGGAUCGUCGCAUCUCUGUCCGGGGAGGAGACCUCCGCCCGGUCGAUGAUCGGGUCGGACAUGCUGCGAAAGCGGGAAAGACAGAGGCCAAGGAGAGGUGCUUAGGGUUUAGAGAAAUCCUUAAUUUCCAAUAGACUUUAUAUAUAUUUUAGGCUAAUGAAAUUGUUAAGAUAUGUCACAAGUUUAAGUGAAUAUUCCGAAUUGGAUAGCUUGUGGAUGUUUGAAAUCGAACAAAAAAAUCCGAAGAUCAACUUCCAAAAAUUCGAAUCUACAUUAGAGAAUUUGGUCACUGAAAUAGGAAAGUCCAACUUUGACUUGGACUUGGAUUUUGUUUAAAAUAUACAGAGAUAUGUUUUGGAUAAAAUCGUUUAAGAUAGGAAACAGAAUCUUAUGAGAAGUCGGCAAAAGAAUAGGGGUCGCACUUAUAUAUAUAUAUAUAGACUCGUGGCUGUGGGAGAUAGGGGGUUGAUUAUGAAGAAUUGGUCUUGAAGCGCCGUCUUAUCGUCGAGUGCUUGGGAGGGAUUUUCUGUCAUUCUUGUCCGUGAAUUAUAUCCAAGAAAUAUUAGUGUUUGUAGUCGAUUAAAUCUUAUGGUAAGAUUUGCGUGUAAUUCCUUCGUAAGAUUGGGAGAUUAUUUUUUAAGGAAUUUCGGGCUAAACACUAUGUGCAUUAUUGAGUGUAAUUGGGGCUUAGGAAAUAUCGAGAGAGUGUUUGAGUGACUCGAGUGUGUAAUCUUCUUGUAUCGCUUGAUCUAUAGUGAAAUUCGCCGUUACUCUUCCCGUGGACGUAGUUCUUUACGUAAAUCCAGUGUCCGAUUUAUUUUUUCUUUUGUUUAUAUUAUUGUUCGAUUGCUCACCUUAUCGCAACAAAAUUAAAAAAAGUUUCGCAAAAAAAAUGAGCUUUUGAGAUAAAAGAAUAUAAAAGAAUAUAAGCUGUUAUAAGAUUUUAACCAAAUAAAAUUACUAUAAGAUCAAUGAUGAAAAAAAAAAUCCAAUUUUAUACUAUAUCAUAAAUGUCUUUUUUCCUUACUAUUAGCGAUAAGAUUGAGCAUUGGAUCAGGGUCAACCCUGGAUCGGCCCAAACUAGCCGGUCUUGGUCCGAUUCUUAGGGGGAUUAGGUCGGUGCUUGAUCCAAUGACCCUUAGAUCCUGCAUUGUGCAGGUUGAUUCUUGAUGCUAAGAGUUUAGGAUUGGUUCGGGUUGGUUUAUAUAUAAUAUGCUUUUAUCUCCUCUAAAUUCUAGCAGGUCCUCCUCUAUUUUCUUCACAAUUCAGUUUGUCGUGUAAAUUAUAAAGUAGAAAGAAAUCCAGCUCUAAUUCGGAAAAAAGAAAAGAAAAGACGUGCUUGUCUUUUGUCGAGACUGAACAAGGUCGUCGUCUGCCCUCUACCGAUAAUUGACUGACCAGUAGCUAAGAGCAGAAAUCCUACUUGAAGGCAUCGGUUGAUAGUUAUGCCCGAUUGUCAGAAACUUCUCUUAACACAAAAUGAAAUGAGAAAUAGUAAAAAUGUUAGCACGACAGGGGAGAAAAAAAUAACUAUUUAGGACUGGCUUCAAAAGAAAAACAUGCAUAGGGUAUUUUCGUAUUAUGUCAACUGCCGCAAGAAGCUGGUGGCAAAUUGAUGACACGAGAGAGCUACUCCAAUUCACAGGGAGAAACCCAAAUCCGGAACAACACGAGGACGACUAACUCCACAUUGAUACUCCAUGACCCUUCGUUUGUUUCAUAUUGAAUCGAAUUCAAACUACUUUGGCAAACAUGAAAUGACAAUAAAGACCGAGAUGAGCAAGGUAACACAAUUCGAAUUGCCACCCGUGAGCCAAAUUUAAUCAAAAUGGGAACUACCACUUCAUCACUAAACGGUUACUGAGUAUCAUAGUAAGAAACCGCCAAGUUCAGCCUAGAUAGAAAGAUUGGCCUUAAUUUAUGAAACUGAAACGUGUGAGGUUCAAAACUCAGCCCAUUAUAUCGAAUCCAUCGGGUAACUGAGGCCAGUUAGUGGCUAAUAAUUGUCUCUCCUAUGGCUGACUUGGAUAUUGCUGCCUGAGAACUAAUUCAGUGCCAGCAAAAGAAGAGGACUAAAGCACUCUGUUUGAUUCAGGCGUGAAGAUUGUCUCAGUGAACAUGUUUGAGAGUCAGGUAAAAGUAACGCCUAGGCAAGCAAGCGCAAAAUACAAUAAGAAGUCUGCAACAGUCCAUUUUAGGAGUGCCACCAGAAGCAAAAUACUGCAGUAGUCUCUCAGUUAAACCUUUUUUUCACAUGUCAUGACACGAAAUUUACCUCAUCCGUUUGAUUAGCAAAGGUGAGGGAUGGCCAUCUUCCCUCCAAAAAUUAACAUCCAGCAUUGUCCCCUCAACUAAAUCCAAUUGCGUGGCAUUUGAUGCUGGGUCAUGAAGGAAGACGGAUUUCUCUGAAGAAUUUGAAUGUGCCCGUAUUAGGUCAUCUAAGCUGCAAGCACAAAGCUCCAAAGCAAGAUACACAAAAUCCUGAUCACAUUCAGCUCCAUACAACCGAACAAUAUAUGGGUCUUGGUCAGAGGCUGUCAGAGACUCUAUUUCUUGUAAAGCAACAGCAUGGCGAGCCAGGACAAGGCGCUUCACUACAACAGAUUGACCUUCACAAAAGUCCUCGAGGGCAAUGGUGCCAUUACUUCCCUUAGUGAUUUCUGUAUUUGAUAGAAAGAGUUUACCGCUACAACGCCCAGGAGUGCCACCAACAACAGGUUUCUUUAGGUUCAUCCUCACAUCAUCAUGCUCCAUACUAUUACUGAGCCUGCCUUCAUUCUUUGAAGAGACAUGCUCCUCCUUUCCAUCAAGACUUCCGUUGCUCUUUCCAGACUCGCGUCUUUCCUUCCACUUGGAAAGUGAUUUUAAAUUACAAUCACCCUCACCUCCACUCCUACCGUUACCGAGCCUGCCUUCGUUCUCUGGAGAUACAUGCUUGUCCCUUUCGUCAUGAUUUUCUUUUCUCUUUCCAGACUCCUGUGUUUUCUUUAUCAAGAGACGAAUUUUCAUUUUAGAAUGACCCUUCCCAUUGAUCCUCCUACUACCGAGCUUGCCUUUGAUCUUUGAAGAGACAUGGUUGUCUUUUUUGUCAAGACUUCCAACCCUCUCUGUUGACCUGUGUGUUUUCUUCAUCUUGGAAGACAUCUUCAAAUUAGGAUCACCCUCAUCAUGGCUCCUACCAUUACAAAUCCUGUCAUCAUUCUCUAAAGAACCAUGCUCGUCCUUGUUGUCAAGACUUUGAUUUUUCUUUCUGGACUGGCGCUUUUUCUUCCUCUUGGAAAGCGCCUUCAAAUGAGGAUCACCUUCAUCGUUGCUCCUAUGAUUACCAAGCCUGCCUUCAUUCUUUAAAGAAACAUGCUCCUACGUACUGUCAAUACUUCCGUUGCUCUUUCCAGACUCACAGCUUUUGUUUGUCUUGAAGUGUUUUCGCGUUACAAUCAAUGUCACCACCACUCUCACUCUUACCAAGCCUGCCUUGGUUCUCUGAAGAGACAUGCUUGUCCUUUUUGUCAAGAUUUUCUUCUCUCUUUCCGGACACCUGUGUUUUCUUCAUCAAGCAAGGCAAUUUCAUUUUAGAAAGACCCUUACCAUUGGUCCUACUACUACCAAGCUUGCCUUUGAUCUCUGGAGAGACAUGCUUGUCCUGUCUGUCAAGACUUGCAACACUCGCUUUUGACUUGUGUGCUUUCUUCAUCUUGGGAGGCAACUUCAAAUUAGGAUCACCCUCGUCGUAGGUCCAACGAUUACCAAGACUGCUCGAUUCUCUGAACAGACAUGCUCCUCCUUUCUGUCAAGACUUCCAUUGCUCUUUCUAGACUCGCAUCCUUUUCUCCAAUUGGGAAGUGUUUUCAAAUUACAAUCACCCUCAUCACCACUCCACCUGUUAUGAAGUCUGCCAUCCUUCUCUGAAGAUAUGCUUGUCCGUGUCAUGACUUUCAUCGUCAAUAAUCACUUAAAAUAUGAAGGCAAAGAGUAUGUGUCGGACUGUGGGAAUAAUGUCUCUCCCUUGCUCCUUUGCCUAGCAAAACUGGAAGAAAUUGUUCUAAGUUAAUCUCACUAGCUCUUUAGGAGUUGUUCAAACUUUACCACUAAUCACAAGAAAUCGGAAGAAAUUGUACUCACGCUUGAAGAGACUUGAGAAUCCCAACAGGCAAGCACAUCAACACUCUGUCUCAUCUGCUCCGAACUGACGCCAAAUCACGGUUGCUCAGCCCGAAAGACAGCCGGCGAGGAUCAAACCGCAACGUCAGCGACACUCGAUCAGCUCUGAACUACAAACUGAUGAAACCACGAGCGUGGCUUGAGGAGAGCCCAAAAGGCUCAGCAGCAACGAAAGGAAGGAGCAUCCCAACCUUCCUGCCAUCGCUACAUUAUUGCAAUGUGCAGAACUUAAGAAGAAAGAUUACCGAUUCUUCCGACCAUUGUCGUACUAUAAAGGGAAAGAUUAUAGGACUAAAGGCACUGUAAUUGAUGCCCACGGGGUCCUACUGGCCCAGUAAUGUUAGCCAUAAUAAACAUCACUGUCAUUGCUCGGCCAAUCACUCUAAAAUGCUUAUCGCUCUUUCAUUAUCAUAACGAGUUAGGUAAGUGCGACCAUGAAUGAUGAUUGCGAGAGUGUUUUCCGAGAAAGGAGUUUAUUGGAUCGACCUGUUUCACGAAAAAAUGCGUUCAUGAAACUGGUUCAGGCAUAAGGAAAAAUUAUGAAGCUUGCGUCCAUUUUGUCUUUUGUCUGAUGAGACAGUGAGACCCCCGUUUCUCGACAUUCGAUUAGUUUGAUUUUUGGACAAGUUCGCCCGUCUCUCUUUCGUAAAAGAAAAGAGUGGAGUCCUCGUCCAACAAGACCAACACUUUCAUGGGCCGAGACAAAAAAAAGAAAAAAAGAAAUGAUUGGGAUUUUGAUAGACUUGCUAGAAAAACAAAUGCUAUCAGAAGUCGACAAAGAGGAUACUGAAAAAGCACUUAUUGACGCCAAUCUAGCAUAAGUGGAUAGACACUGAACAGAUUUAGGCGUUUGUAUUUUUCAGGCUAUGUGGCAUACAGUACACACCCUCCUUGCUGAUUUGUACGUAGCAUAUAAAUUUUUGGUGAAGUCUCGUUAGUCAUCUUUAAUCUAAGCAACAAAUGAUCACAUGAACUAAAGUUAAUAUUGAAAUGGACACCGAGGUUGAUAUUGAUUGAAAUUCUUGAACUUCGGCGAAGGGAUCUUUUUAAAUUUUAGAGUAGGAUAUAUAGAAUUAACUUCAGCAUAAGCAUCACUAUAAGUCAAUAACACACAAAAUACCCAACAUUUUAUGUUUUGUCUGAAUUAUUUGAAGUAUUUGACAACCCUUUAGUUUGACAUGAUACAUAAGCGUUAUAUUCAAUUAAUCAGGACUCCAAUUCCAUAUUCAAUCAACUUUUUGAGACCUCAGUCAUCUUAAUGGUGAUACAUGAACUUCCAGUUGGAGCAUACCGUUUCUUGACUGCCUUCAAUUUGAAAAACCAAAAUCAGCAAAAUUUUCUAUCAGGUCGAACUUUUCAAAUUGCUGGUUGUGGACUCAGCAUUACAUUGUUUCGCCAGCAUUUUAGGUAAAACCCCGGACAUUUGUUUUGGACACUGACAACAUUGUAUCGGUUGUUGGCAUACAUUAAUGUGAAAUUUAUAGUUCUUAUGUGAAUCACAUACUCAGAUUCCUAAAGUUCUGUCGAAUUUGACUGAGUCAAAGUCUGACUUUAUUAGCCUGAAAAAAUAAUAUCAGGACAAGAUCCACAUGUACACACUUGACCAGAAAGUGAGCUAUGGCUGCGAACAAGUAUGCCCAGUGGAAGAGCGCUGAACAAUCCUCCUGACCCACAUCAAAGAGCUGGGUCAUUAUUGUUCCUGUAUAUUUCACAAAACUCUCAGCUGCUUUCUUGAGAAUCAGUAGCAUGAAAAUCCUUAGUGAAGUAGCCCUACUUUGGCUGAAUUACACUUGCACUCCUAUGUUGAGUUCUCCAUCUGUAUGUUUCCAGAUAUAGAUUCAUUGUUAAUACUUGUUUCACAAUCAAGAUUCAGUCUGUGUUUCUCGAUCAAAUAUGUACCAGUGGGAGUGACUAGCCGAGACUUGUUUCAACUUCAGAAAAAUUGGACAAAGGUAUGAGAGAUCUGCAUAGCUUCGCAUACCAAAUCAAAUGCCCUCUCAGCAUAAAACUGAUAAAGUUGACUUAAAGAUGACCUUUUUAUUUGACUGCCUUUUAUUCUUUUUUUCCUUUUCAUUUCUCUUUGGAGACAGCUAUACUAACCAAUAUCCAUGAGUGGGGGAGUGUGAACUGAACCAUCAGGACGUACUGAUACAAUGGGCUCAAUGCCAGAAAGCCAAGCUUGCCUUCACGACUCCGAUGUCAGUCACCUGAAGCAUCGCAUAAUGGACACAAAUCACCCCGGCAAUAGCCCAUGGUCUGAUUCUUGAAGAGCAGGCACCUGUUCACACACAACAAUUGAUAAAUGAACGCCAAAAUUUCUGUUUGAGAGAAAAUGGAGGGUCAAGAAAGUCUUGCCUUGAGUGAGGUUGUCUCCUAAGAUAAGUAUGAUACAAGGAAUCGUCCCUGGCCUGCUUCACAGAAUUUCAGUUUUAAGGCCAAAAUCAUUGAGAUAGAACUAAUGCUUGCAGAAGUCACAACAUAAGGUCGACCUUUCUUACCCUGGUUGUCGAAUAGUGUCCUGCAUUACAUGAUGGGGCGCAUUCUCACCAAUUAAGAGGUUCUUCUAGAAUGUGAUUGCCGUGACAAUGAAUCCAAUUAUCUAUUCGCAUAGAGAAAAUUGUCACUCCAUGUCCCUUGACUAGAAAACCUUACGCUUUGCAAGCAUAAUGCAGGAGAGUUUUGAUGAAACUCACUGUAGCAAGCCUAGGAGGCGACAUUAGAUCCUCCAAAACUUGGUGAAGAGGCUCUCUAACUUUAUUCCAGAGUGAUGUAAUGGUCUUAUCUGAAUCCCCAAGUGAAAUAUGAAAUACAAUUGCUCGUGAAAAUAGGGCAACGAAAAUGUAACUUUUCUUGCGCCACAAGUCAAAUGGGAAAGAAGAGAAUGAGUCUCACAGCUUGCAUUUCUGCAUCUUCACGAGCCUUUGUCCAUUGCAUGCUAACAACAGCUUGUUGUCAUCCAUCUUUUUCUUCAAGAAGACAUGUUUCUGAACCGACAUUUAGGUCAAAGAUAGGUGCCUCUGAGGCCUCACUGGCUGCUUGAAGCACUUAUAUUCAUGGGCGAUGUUCGAAUCAGUUGAUAAGUGUUAGUCCAGAUGUAGAAACCACCAAGCUGCUUUGACACCAGAGAAGAAAGUACACUUGAGUGAGAUAGUCACACACUGGAAUACCAUAGACUCAAUUCAUCUACUCCGCCUUACAAACAUUAAAGAAUAAGAUCUCUCUCGAUGGUCGGGUACAGGUUUUUGCCACUGUCAAGGCAAUCUCAUGUUAGAAGGUACAGGGAAAAAGGUACAGGGAAAUGCUGAAAUUAGUGAUAUCCUGAUUAGACAAAUGAUCAAACAGUUGUUCUAAUUAGAUAAAGCCUGAAAGGAUCUCAAUUUACCAUGCAGAAUUCCAAAUAGACCAUUUCUCACAUGACUUCCACGGGUGGAAUGCAAGGCAGGACUUAUUUUUUAAUACAUAAGUCACACUUCUCUGUCCCUUUCUGUUCUUCCCCCUCAUCUGCAGGGUUUUCGUCAUUGCAAAACUCAGUAACAAGACUAGGUAACUCGAGACGAGCAAUGAGCAGUUUUUCCCCUCGCCACACACCCAUGCACGUUAUACUCUGCUCGAACCCUGUUUUGACCAGCUGCAUUAUGCCAUUUGACCAUACAGAUCCUAAGAAACUUUGGCAGAACCCCUUAAUACCAAAAGAACCAAGCUCACAUCCAAGUACUUACUACACCAAAUUGCCACUAAACUAAACUCGCGCCAUCGAAAUUACGGCAUGGGACUGCAUAUGCUCAACCGGCCAAACGACUCACAACUCCUGGGUAAAAGACACUGCUUCAUUUGGACCAGGAACAUUACAAAUUUUUUCUUUUGAAUCAAUCACGAAGCGAGAAAUUACGUCUUCUGUGCUUAUAAACAAGAUCAAUAUGAACCCACAGAAGCAAAAAUUGAAAUUCUCGACCAUUUCAAGUCAAAGAUGGGUUGGGAUGGAGAUGAAGAAUUACGUUCCUUUUGUGACAAAAAAUAAACGCAUGGACCUGAAUUUCGCUGAAAAUUAAAGAGGUGAAGGAGAAUUGUUUGUUUAUACAGGAUGGGAUGUUUGUAGCAGGUGGGAAAAUUCUGUAAAAAGAUGUUCGCGACCACUCUAGACAGGGAUCACUCUUGCUGAAGUGCACGCUCAUAGAUGAGUCCUUAUAGCCUUCGUGGGCUCUCACCGCCUAAAGCAUCGACAGCUUGCUGCCACUCCGGUACAUCCUCCAAGGAAACUUGAAGGAGCCGAAGGUGACGGUGACGACUCACGGGGAUUCACCAGCAAAUUGGGGAUUUCGGUUCCACUAGAGGACGGACUGGGGGAGGGUUUCUCCUGUUGACUGGACAAAUUCGUGGAGG
rnacentral:lncRNA from 1 species